GGGGCUUAAUCAUGCUUAGCAAGGGUUUUAGAGAGAGUGAAGCCAUGACUUCGCACCUGCGAGCAAAAUGUAGGGUUUUAACUUGUAACAGAUGCGAACAUUGGAUUUUAACCAGUUAGAAAUUUAGGGUUUUUUGGGUAGGUGUCUGAGAGUGUGGGCAGCGCAAAAAGGAGAAAGACGAGGUGAAACCAAUAAAAAUAAUAGGGUUUUGAAUAUUCCAAAAUAUUCGGCUUUAUUUUAUUUAUUUUUUGAGUUUUUAUUGUAUGUUGCAAAGCAUGGCUCAUGAAGGAGAGAGGAGCAUGAAAAGAGAUGCUUCUGGAAACCCUAAAACCCUUUUGCCAGACUUAAAUGUGACUAUUCUGGUAGAGAGUUGCAAUGAAACUCAGGUAGUUCUUAUUGAAAUGCGAGCUAAAAGGUGUUCUAGUUUUUCUCGUUAAUGGAGAGUCACUAGCUGCUCUUUUGAGAACAUCUCCAUCUAAACCCCAAGAAGAACAUGCUGCUAAAUUUACCAGGAAAGAAGAUAUGCGACCAGGGUGAUCAAAAGAAGCUGAUCUUUCUCCUGUAACUCAAUAUGACCCUUCUCAAUCACCUCGCUCAAUUGUAGAGAGUGGGGCACCAUACAUGGAAGGAUAUAUAGAAACAGAGCCACUUAAGCUUAUUGAGAUCAUUUUCUUUUUCUUUGUGUUGAUUCCUUUUGUUAUCUGUAUUUCAUCAUUUGCUUUGAGAGAUUGUGAUGUUGAGAAGGUAUAAUACUAUCCGAUGGACUAUAGUUUGUUGAUCAUAUGGCCAUCAAUGAACAAAUUCAUGGAUGGACAGGAGACAGAACAUGAUUGACCUACAUAGUGGUGGUCCUUUGUUAUCUAUUGGUAUCUCAUCUUUGUAGCUCCAAUAUUUCUGAGGUUCGAGCAGGCGUCAGAUGCUUCCAGAUUGAUAUCCACCCGACAUGGCCAUAUGGAAGAUGGAACUGUAUAGACACACUCAUUUGUUGCUUCAAAAAGUCUCAUGACAAUUACUGUCAACUACGGCAGAUAAUAAUUGAAAUGGAGUCAUGCAAGAGACAUGACGAGGAUAUGAAGAGGGCAGACAGUAUGGAUGCUACAAAGAGGGACGCAUUAAUUGAAGAGAAUGCCAAGAGUGACGCGCUCAUUGCCAAGUUGGAAGCAAAGGUCACAAUGACUGAUGCAUUGCGGGUGUGAGAAAGUGGGUCAAAGAGAAGGAGGCUGCCUUAGAAGCAUCUCAAAAGCAUGCCACUACUUUCCUCAAGUUUUUGAAGAAGGCUGAGUGUGAGAUAGAUAUGGUGAGAUCAGAGGCAUUGCGGGCACACAAGGAGGCUAAGGAAGCCGACUUUCAGGAAAUGGCAUCACGAGCAGAGGCCUCUUGGAUUCGGGAGAAAUUCGAAGACAUGCACCGUAGUAGGAGAGAAAUUCGAAGACAUGCACCGUAGUAGGAUAGAGGUGGAGCAAGCAGAGGCCUUGAGGGAGCAAGCAGAGGCAUUGAGGGUGCAAGCCGAGGCUAAGGAGGCAAAUCAUGAGAAGAGGUUGCAUUAGUCGAGGACUCAAGGGCCCAAUCUGAGGUUAUGGAGCUACGCAUUAACUUAGAAAAGGCACAAGAAGUGGCAUCCAGGGCACGGGCAGAGGUAGAGGAACUACGUUUUCAUUUAGAGGAGGCACAAACUGAGUCCUUGAAGGCUCACGAGAAGGUUGAAGAAUCUUACUGUCAAAUCGAGGCAUCCCAAGAGGAGGCAUCAAGAGCACAUGCCAAGGUUAAGGCAAUGGACAUGCUGAUAGAUGUGGCUCGGGAAGAGGCAUUGAAGGUAAAAUCCAAGGUUAAGAAGAUGGGUCUUAUGAUUGAGGCAGCUCAAGAAGAGGCAUCAAGGGCACAAGCCAAGGUUAAGAAGCUAGAAGAGGCGGCGCAAGUGGGGGCAACAGGGGCUCAAUUCGAGGUUGAGGGGGCUCACCAUCGUUUAAAGGCAACACAAAUAGAGGCUUUGAGGGCAAAAGCUGAGGUCAACGAGCUGCGCUCACAUUUAGAAGUGGCACGAGCUGAUGCCCUGAGGGCUCGAGCCAAGGUCAAAGAGGCACAGAGUCAACUAGAGGAGAUGGAGGCCCUUGAUGGCGCAAAGCAAGAUUGAGGAGGCAAAAUGUGAGAUAGAGGCAGUGCAAGCAGAGACCUUGAAGGCACAGGACAAGGUUAAGAAAGCGCAAGUGAGAGAGAAGAGGCACAAGCAGAAGUAUGGAAGGCACGGGCUGAGGUCAUGGAGGCUCAUUGUCAGAUGGAAGCUGCGCUAGAGGAGGCAUUGAGGGCAAAAAAUGAGGUUAAUAGACUUGCAAGGGAGCUUGCGAGUCUUCUUUCACUCAUUUUCUUACCAUUUAGGCUAUUUAUGCACAGUCGAAAUUGAGGUGAAAGUGGGAUAUUAUAAAAAACAAUCGGGGUUGGGGAACUGGGUAUAUCACUUGAGCCAAAAUCUUUUUCAUAUUCUUUUGUUGGUUUAUUCAUGUGGGGUGAAAAAUAAGAAAAGAGUAAUAAAAGGAUAUGAAAAUUUAUGGGAAAAUUUGCUUAAAACCCCCAAAUAUAGACUUCCUAGGCACUUUACCCCAGCCUAAUUUUUCCUAACAUAUUUUUGCCAAAACCAAAUUUUUUUAGUUAAUACAAUAUAAAAAAUUCAUUUUUUUUGAGAAAAUACCCUUCUCGGCCUUAACAAAUCAUUUUUGGAAAGGAAACGCCGGACCGCACUUGUACAAUGCCAGACUAGUCACUUCCGUACCCCCACUUUAAAAUGCCGGACUGCCCUUUCAAGAUGCCAGAUCGGGCCGUCUCUUCUUUUAAACGAGAGACCGCCUCUUUUAAACGUUGGACCGCUCGGUAUUUUUGUCAAAAAAAAGUGUGUAUUGGGGGUAUUAGCUAAAAACGUUUGUUUUGGGGAAAAAUAUGUUAGAAAAAGUUGGGCUGGGGUAAAAUGUCUAGAAAAUCCAUAUUUGGUUUGGGGGGUUUUACGCAAUUUUCCAAAAUUUAUUCAUUGCAUUCUACAAUUUCCGAAGGAAGUAUGCUAUAACUUAUUUGAUCAUGGUAGUAUUUGAUAUUAAGGGCCAUCACAGUUCCAUACCGUUUUGUGCUGUGAUGGAGGCAAUUGGUACCCACAAGAUAGGUCACUAGUUUAGUUGCUUGUCUCACCCUCCAUCACUGUUGAACCAAUUGAUGGAAUGGUGAUGAACUUGUGCCCACCUAGUUAACAUGAUCUUAAAGGUUGUAGGAUAGUUUCCCUUAUUUGAUAGAUAAUUUUACGCAUGUAUAAUUCAAGGAUUGAAACAGGUAAACCACUGAAAAGUCAAGCUUCUAUUUUCAAGAUGGCCAGUACUUGGCUUGAGGCAGGCUGCUCGAAUAAAAUCAGAUGAACUUCUUAAAAUUUGGCAUUGAACUACCUUACCAACUUGAGAAAUCCCCCCCUCUCUCUAUAUAUUUUUGUGCAGGAGAAUGCCAAGAGCCAGGCAACGUGGGUGAGUUGGAUAGACCACCUCACCCUUAUUGGCCAACUCAAGGACGAGAUCUUAGCAUUACAUUGUACUCUUGAUUGCUCAAGGGAUAGAAUGAAUAUCAAUUCAAGAGGUCAGACUAUUUCAAUGUCUGGGAUAGAUCAAGGCAUACUACACUCACGACCGAAUACGACUAAGGAAAGGGUUUCAUCUUCCGAGUGAAACCAAGGAGGAUCAAGGUGACUUCGAGGAUGAACAAGUAGAAUAUAUCGGUUUUGAGUCCUCUUUCUUUGGGAAGAGACAAGGAGACAAGGAGAAGAUUAACCACAUCUUUUUUUGGUUGGUUGGAGAUUGAAUUGCAUUGCAUGUAGACAGACACGUUGAACCAGGUAAGUCUAAUAUUCGAUUCAACUUUCGACCAUCCAUUAGCAGGAGAAGAUGGUGGAUGUAGCCUUCGGUUAUGACAUGACACAGUCCAAAGUACCAUCUUGCUUGAAGGUGGCAUAUUUCCCCAUUUCGUUGACAGUUUUGCCGAAUUUCGUAUGUCAAUCAUAUAUUGUACAUAGGGCUGGCAAUGGGUCGGGCGGCCCGGCCCUAGAAAAGUAUGGCCUGAGCCACAAACUAUGGCCUGAGGGCCAGCCCGCCUCAGCCCUUUAUUUUCUUUUGUUUUUUCUUUUUCUUUUGCUUUUUUGUUUUUUAUUUUGCCCCUGACCAGCCAGGCGAGACCAAGGCUGGGCUCGGGCUGGCCCGAUGGGGUCAAACCAGCCCAACACGUUUUUUUUUUUUUUCUUUUUUUCCUUGAGAGAACUUGACUUUGUAUUAAGGAGAAAAGAACAUGUACAAACCCAUCAAUGGGGGCAGUAUACAAAGAUUUCCAAGAUAGUGAACUAGUAACAAAAAUUCUAUAUAUCUACUGAAAUGACAAAUGUAUCAAGGAAGCCACGUGGCCCAAUCGUGUCAAUGCGCCCUUCCCUUAGCCAACGAUGUUAACCCUCCUUAGCGAGGGCAUCAGCUACAGAUUUGGCCUCCCACCAAAUAUGUGUCCAAGAGAUACUAAUAUGCUGUUCGAAAUAUGUGUCCAAGAGAUACGAAUAUGCUGUUCGAAAUUUCAUAAAAAAUAUGAGCAAGCCUCAAGGGUAAAAUGGUGGGUUUGGAAUCUCUUUCGACAGCAACCGUGGGGUUUAUGUGGUAUUUAAAAACAUUAUGAGAGCUUGUAUGAGUAUAACUUAGUGAGAGUGGUCAUCUUGUAGAUCAUAUUACACAAAUGUGAUUUGUUUAUACUCGGAUUAGAUUCGAUGUGUUCGGCCAAUUGGGUUUGGAAAAACUUAAGAUACCUAGGGCGAAAAAAGUUUAGUGGGUUAUCUCUAGAUGAGAUUGGAGUAUGUCCAGAUGAGUGUUGAGGGAUUGUUUGGCCCUUGUCUAAGAUAAAUAGCUUUUAAAGAUAGGACUAAAAUCUUAUCGUUAUAUCAUCACACGGAAUGUACAUAGAUAGUUGUUUUAGUAUUUACAUUGUUCGAUAAAAAUAUAUUUGCUUAUCAAAAAGUAAACUCAAUUUUUUUAUUAUUUGUGGUACUUGUGAUCUUUUGUCAUGAUUUUUUGAUGCAAUUAGUGAUAAUUGUCUCUAAUGAUAUGCACUAUCUUUUUCUCGAUAAAAACUCUGAUUGACAAAAAAAAAAUAGACAAUUUGUCUGAUAAUAUGGAUGAGAAAUUCUAAAAAAAAGAUUUGCAUACACACAAAAUGAAAAAAAGAAAUUUAUGUAUUUAUAACUUUAUUAAAAAGACCCUCCCUAAUUUUUGUCUAUUACUUGCAUACCUUUUUAUUUAUCUUUUUUUUUUUUGUUUUUUUCAUGUUAUUCUUAAUCUACAAUCACUUUUUGGGUGUUCAAGAUAUGAAGUUAGAAAGGGAUUUUAUGACUUUGGAUUUUGGUGAUCCGAAAUCAUGUUCUAUUUUGUUCUAUAAAAAAGUUAUUUAUGACUCCAAAUAUUGAAUAUCUUGAUACUUUAGCAAAAUAAACAAUAGAAAUUGAGCCACACUUGAGGUCUUUAAAAUCCCAAUUUAUAAAGGCACUUGACUUAGGAUUUAAAAAAAUAAAAUGCAGUGGUGCUAUAUUUGUGAAAAAAAGAAAGAAAUAGUAAAGCCUUACUUAUACCUUCAAAAUCCAAAGCGGAAAUUCAAAGAAGAUCCAAAGUUAUGGUAAAUUAAGAAUAAAACGAAAAAUGAUGAAAAAAAAAAUACACGUAAUAAACAAAAAUUAAGAAGAGUUUUUUUAAUGACAGUAAUUAAGGGGAUGUAUAAAUAAGGACCCGGUUUCUAUACGGUGAAGCCUGUAUAUGUUGAAAUGUGAGUUUUUUAAUAAAUCUAUUUUUGUGAUGGAUUUUUUAACUUGAUUAUCAUGAUAUGAAAAAAUAAAAAUUA